rnacentral:lncRNA from 1 species
UGGGGGAUUUUUGCAAUUUUCCCAAGGCCUAUAAAUAGUGAAGAGGUUUUCCCCAAACCCUCACAACACUCUUUUGCCCUUCUCGAUCGCUCAGACCACCAGAUCCUUGAAUCGGCGAUUCCUCGGUUCGAAACCCUCAAACCACCGAUUCACCCGAUGUCUCCCAGCGAUUCCCCUUUGAGAGAAAGCGAAACGUCAGCUCUUGUUGCUGACUUGAUGGAUGUGGAUAACUUGGACGGGGUGCUGAAC